GAGUAGGGCGGGACACGUGGUAUCCUGUCUGAAUAUGGGGGGACCAUCCUCCAAGGCUAAAUACUCCUGACUGACCGAUAGUGAACCAGUACCGUGAGGGAAAGGCGAAAAGAACCCCGGCGAGGGGAGUGAAAAAGAACCUGAAACCGUGUACGUACAAGCAGUGGGAGCACGCUUAGGCGUGUGACUGCGUACCUUUUGUAUAAUGGGUCAGCGACUUAUAUUCUGUAGCAAGGUUAACCGAAUAGGGGAGCCGAAGGGAAACCGAGUCUUAACUGGGCGUUAAGUUGCAGGGUAUAGACCCGAAACCCGGUGAUCUAGCCAUGGGCAGGUUGAAGGUUGGGUAACACUAACUGGAGGACCGAACCGACUAAUGUUGAAAAAUUAGCGGAUGACUUGUGGCUGGGGGUGAAAGGCCAAUCAAACCGGGAGAUAGCUGGUUCUCCCCGAAAGCUAUUUAGGUAGCGCCUCGUGAAUUCAUCUCCGGGGGUAGAGCACUGUUUCGGCAAGGGGGUCAUCCCGACUUACCAACCCGAUGCAAACUGCGAAUACCGGAGAAUGUUAUCACGGGAGACACACGGCGGGUGCUAACGUCCGUCGUGAAGAGGGAAACAACCCAGACCGCCAGCUAAGGUCCCAAAGUCAUGGUUAAGUGGGAAACGAUGUGGGAAGGCCCAGACAGCCAGGAUGUUGGCUUAGAAGCAGCCAUCAUUUAAAGAAAGCGUAAUAGCUCACUGGUCGAGUCGGCCUGCGCGGAAGAUGUAACGGGGCUAAACCAUGCACCGAAGCUGCGGCAGCGAC
rnacentral:rRNA from 1 species